rnacentral:lncRNA from 1 species
AGGAUAAUUUUAUUGUAUAAAAAUGUCACGCCCCGGGGUCCCUUUCAGUUUAAAAGAUAGCGGAAAAGCGUCUGAAUUUUUUUUUUUUGAAAAUUUGACCCCAGAGUAUGCCAGAUCCGCCACAAAUACAGGAGAUCCACUGUUCACACGGACAGAGUCUCCCCUGUAUUUGCACGGCGUCGCACAAGUACAAGAGUACAACCAGGAUACAACCACCACUAGAUAAAUAUAAAGAUAACUAUACAUUCAUACAUUCACCAUUCACAUCACAGUUUUACAUUCAAUGUUUAAACAGAAAUCCACUAAAUAUCCUUUUGAAAACUGUUUCCUACACGGAAACCUUUAUUCGUUAAAAAUGCUACCACGAGGGGUAGAAAACCUUUUAUUUUAC